AUUGAACGCUGGCGGCAGGCUUAACACAUGCAAGUCGAGCGGGGUGAUGGUCUUGCACUAUCACUUAGCGGCGGACGGGUGAGUAAUGCUUAGGAAUCUGCCUAUUAGUGGGGGACAACAUCUCGAAAGGGAUGCUAAUACCGCAUACGUCCUACGGGAGAAAGCAGGGGAUCACUUGUGACCUUGCGCUAAUAGAUGAGCCUAAGUCGGAUUAGCUAGUUGGUGGGGUAAAGGCCUACCAAGGCGACGAUCUGUAGCGGGUCUGAGAGGAUGAUCCGCCACACUGGGACUGAGACACGGCCCAGACUCCUACGGGAGGCAGCAGUGGGGAAUAUUGGACAAUGGGGGGAACCCUGAUCCAGCCAUGCCGCGUGUGUGAAGAAGGCCUUAUGGUUGUAAAGCACUUUAAGCGAGGAGGAGGCUCUUUUGGUUAAUACCCAAGAUGAGUGGACGUUACUCGCAGAAUAAGCACCGGCUAACUCUGUGCCAGCCGCCGCAGUAA
rnacentral:rRNA from 1 species